UUGAGGACCAUGACAAUGCAACAAACCAAAUAUCAAAGGUCUAAGUGUUGUGGUUUCAGACAAGAAGAUUUUUAAACUUUUUUUCCUAUAUAAGUCUAUGUAAAACUUGGGACCCCCGGGUGGGGCCAUAUUUGACCCUUGGGGGAUAAUUUGAACAAUUUUGGUAGAGGACCAUUAGAUGAUGCUACACACAAGAUAUCAAAGCCCUAGGCCCUGUGGUUUUGGACAAGAAGAUUUUAAAAGUUUUUCCUUUCGGUUGCCAUGGCAACCAGAGUUCUGCAUGGAAUUCAAUUCUUUGAAUAAUUUUGAAAGGGGGCCACCUAAGGAUCAUUCCUGUGAAGUUUGGUGUAAUUCUGCCCAGUGGUUUUCAACAAGAAGAUUUU